rnacentral:rRNA from 1 species
UACGUAGGGGGCUAGCGUUGUCCGGAAUCAUUGGGCGUAAAGAGCGUGUAGGCGGCCAGGUAGGUCUGCUGUGAAAACGUCGAGGCUCAACCUCGAGACGUCGGCGGAAACCAUCUGGCUAGAGUCCGGAAGAGGAGAGUGGAAUUCCAGGUGUAGCGGUGAAAUGCGUAGAUAUCUGGAGGAACACCGGUGGCGAAGGCGGCAUCCUGGACC